CCCUUAGAUGUUCUGGGCCGCACGCGUGCUACACUGACCGGCGCAACAAGCUUUUUUCCUUGGCUCGACAGGCCUGGGUAAUCUUCGAACGCCGGUCGUGAUGGGGAUAGAUCAUUGCAAUUAUUAAUCUUGAACGAGGAAUUCCUAGUAAACGCAGUUCAUCAAACUGCAUUGAUUACGUCCCUGCCCUUUGUACACACCGCCCGUCGCACCUACCGAUUGAAUGGUCCGGUGAAGCCUCGGGAUUGUGGCUGGUUUCCUUUAUUGGAGGUCGGUCGCGAGAACUUGUCUAAACCUUAUCAUUUAGAGGAAGGUGAAGUCGUAACA
rnacentral:rRNA from 1 species